AGAGAGAGAAGAUGGGGAGGAGAGAGAGUACACAGCGCACACAAAACCUCUUAAGGUCUGGGUUCAGAACUGAAACAAUGGCACAUUCUAUUGACCAAAGAAAUUCAUGAGACCAGAGAUGGUCUCUUAGUUUCCAGAGAUGGAAAACAAAUCCCACUUCUUUUGGGGGAGACUGUCGAAGUCACACUGCAAAGGGUGUGAGUAUAGUGAGGGAUGGAGAAUUAGGACCAGUUGUUGUCGUGAGUCUGCCACAUUAAACUAGUGGGAGAUAAAGUCAGAGAAGUCAUGGGAAUCUAGGUGGUGUGGGGCCUUGCAGGCCAAAGUAAGUCCUUUGGCUUUUGCUCUGAGAUGAGAAACAAAUGGAGGGUUUCCAAGAGAAGAGUGAUACAGGCUAACUUCUAUUUUCAUGGAAUCACUCUGGCUGUAAGGUUAAGAAUAGACUGAAGUGGGGAAGGAGACAGUGAGGAGGCUACCACAGCAAUCCAGGCAAGAGGCAAUGGUGGCUUGGCCUGGAAAAUAGUAAUAGUAGUGUUGGGAAGUGGUCUUGCAUCUUGGCUCAUAGAGGAGGGAAUGAACACCAACAUUUUGGUAUUUUCUUCAUAUGAAGAGAAAUGCAGGGGAGGAAGGUUUCUCCUCUCUGUCUCCUCCCCAUUGAGCACCCCUUCUCAGACAAAAAAAGACAAAUGUGAUAGGCAAGAGUCUGACAUUUCCUGGGACAUGCUUUAGUAAUGGGCAGGGACUUACUCUGUCUGCUGAGCAAAACCAGUCCAGAAUGUUCCCUUCACUGGAAGUGUGCUGCUAGAUAGUGGGCUCCUACUCUACCCCCUGGUAGUUGAGGGUGUGAGGCAGCCCAGGUCCUCACAGGUGCCUGGUGAAUGAACUUGGGUUGACUCUGCAUACCCAACUCUCAGAUACACACUGAGUUGAGCAGGUCUCAAAGUCUGGUUGCAGUGGGAGUAAGAGGCUUCAUUCGACCUCAGCCUUGUUUCUUUGCAUUCAGAAUCUUUGGGUCAGCCAGUGCCCCACUUAGCUCCCUUUGUAUGAGUUCCCCCACUGGUGACAAGAGAGGUGAGUCACAGAACCUGAAGACCUAACAUCAACAUCAAGCUCAACUGAGAAUUUGCUGCCAUGUUAACCCUUGGCAUAGUCUUCCUUUCUUUUUUUCUGGUGUUAGGUAGUCUUUCUUCAUCCCUCUAUCCCUUUUUCUGAGCCAUAUUUGAAAGAAUGUGAAAUUACAUUUUUAUUAGUGAUGCCUCCCUUAGUUUCAAGUAACAGGAACACAUUUAAGCUCUCUUAAAGACAAAGCUAGAAUUUGUUUUGAAGAAACAAAUUUGUCUCAAGACCCAAGGGCAGAUACAUAGUAGACUUCAUAAGUAAACUAUGGAGUGCAUGGGUGGCUCAGUUGGUUAAGCGUCCAGCUCCUGGUUUUGGCUCAGGUCAUGAUCUCAUGGUUUGUGGGUUUGAGCCCUACAUCGAGCUGUCAGCACAGAGCCUGCUUGGGAUUCUGUCUCUCUCUCUGUCUCUGCCCCUCCCUGCUCUCUCUUUAAAUAAAUAAAUAAAUAAACUUAUUUUAAAAAUUAAAAAAAAAGAGAAAUAAACUAUAGCCAGAGCUUCAAAUGCAGUCAGGACUUUCCCUUCCGUCCCUAGAGGAGGUGAACACACACCCUAGUUUGCACAGAACUAUCCUGGUUUACAUCUGCCAGAUGUAAACAACAGGCAGAAACCACACAGUGACUUAAAUAAGGGAAGCUUAAUACAAAUAUUUUUAAAUUUUUGAUAAAAGAGCAAUUAUAAGAUAUAGGGAAACUCUAUGUGGUAUCCUAGGGCCAAGGGAGAGUACCUAAGGAGAGACAGAUAUGAAAGGGGACCCCCUUCCCAAGGCUGGACUUGCAACCAUUGGAUGGCAGAGAGAUUUGCCCAGACCAGAGCUGGUCUGCAAUCCGUGAGCAAGCAGGAAGCAACUCUCUGGGGCACAGGUUGAGCAUAGAAAAUCUGCAGCCAGGUCUGGCACAGGAGCUUGAAGAGAGAGUGGGGUGCCAUUGCAGACAGGAGGCUUGGAAUAUACCAUGUCCAUGUCAAGACGGCCAGGUGAUCACUGGCCAGGUUGGGGCUGUAAAGUCACCAAGGGACCAUGAGUUCUGAGCCUGUGGCUGGGAUAGAGUACCACCAACUGACAAUGCGGCUGCCAGAACCAGCAGGAAGGCCCCUUCCUCCUGCAUUAUCCCUCUAGUACCCUCUCCUGAGAAACCUCAACAGGUGUUCUUUGUAGGGGAGAAAUGCUUUAAAGGAAUUCCAUUUGUUAUUGUGGAACCUGUAUGGAAGGGUGAAUUCGGAUCUGAGAGACAAUAAAUUGCUAACUGAUGCAGCUCUCAACAAUACCCUGGUACGAAUGAUUAAUUCCCAGAAUAGUCAGAUUCAUAGAGAAAGAAUGUAGAAGAGUAAUUACCAAAGGCUGGGAGCAUGGGGGAAUUGGAGAAGUAUUGUUCACUGGGUAGAGUUUCAGUUUGGGACGAUGAAAAGGUUCUGGGGAUGGAUGGUGGUGAAGGUUGCCCAACAAUAUAAUGUACUGAAUGCCACUGAAUUACACAUUCAAAAAGGAUUACAAUAGUAAAUUCUACAUUGUACAUAUUCUAUCACAAUUACAAAAAAGGUUAAUUCAUGGUCACUGUAUUUGUCUCUCACCUCUGCUCCACUCUGUACAUUGACUUUCUUCUUCGUUUCUCUGUUUCUCUUCGACACCCUGGAAAAUCUGGCUGCCGACAGCUCUUGACCUAAAACAGCUCUUCUUUUCUCAAGCAACCAGCCACACUGAGUCUGGCUCUCACAAGUCCCUCUCGCAAAUUCUCAUGCACAACUUCUUGAAUUGAUAUAUAUUCCCAUCAGGUGCUUCAGAGAAGCUCUGACCUUUUUCUCGACAGGCAAAAAUGUGCAUUUUGGCACCAGAUUAUCGGAUGGAAAAAUACAGGCAUUUUCUAAGCCCUAAACACAGAGUGUGCCAUCUAUUAGUUUGGAUUUCUUCCUUAACUAUCAUCAUACUAAUAUGUGGUGGUUUUUCCAAGAAGAAAUGAAUCCAAAUCUAUCUUUGGACUCAGAAUCCCGGAAGCCUGGGUUUUAUCACUGGCUGGUCACAGAUGCACUGAAAAUGGAUUCUGAUUUUGGGGAAUCCAAACUGAGAUGGGCAUAUUUUGCUACCUGAAAUGGCCUGGACCUAUAUUUGCUCUUAAGCAGAGCAAGAAUUUGGAGUACAGAAUUUCUGGCAGCUGCUGCUGCCACCUAGAAAUUGUUAUUGAACAACAUGAAGCAAUAUGGCAAGGCUGAAACUGGCUUGUUUUCUCUGAAGACUUAAAGAAAUUUGGAGGCAUCAAUCUUCACAUUCCUCAUGGUGGAAGGCUUAAAGAGCAAGCCACAUCUGAGCUGGCCUUGAAAACUCUGGUAAGUGGAAAGAAGAGAUGCCUUUCACCCCAUUCUCCACAACUGGAAUGCCCUUGACACUUUUUUCUCUUGCUCUCCAAGUCCUAACAGUCUCAGGGCCUGCCACCACCAUGAAGCCUCCCUUGAUGUCUCUGGUCCAUCUUAAUAUCUUUUCUUUCUCUGAAGGAAAAGCGGGUAUCUCUUGUUCUCUUCAUGGUAGCACUCAAAUCCUACUGCUGUUCAUUGUGCCCUCAUUAUUGAUUAUAUGACCUACUCCUCUAAACAGAGAGAUUCUUCCAGGCACAGCCAGUUCUUCUAUUCCUUCUUCUAAGUCUAUUUAUUUAUUUUACAGAGAUUUAUUAUAUUUAGAAAGAGUGUGGGCACUUGUGGGGUGGGGGUGUGUGGAAAGGGAGGGAGAGAGAGAGAAUCCCGGGGCUGGAACUCACAAACUCUGAGAUCCUAACCUGAGCGGAAAUCAAGAGUUGGACGGUUAACCAGCAGAACCACCCAGGCCCCCAGGGUAGCUCUUAUAUUUCUGAUUCUUGUUCAGUUCAGUGCUGGGGUUACAGUCGGUGGCCCAUAAAUACUUGUUAAUAAAGUGACUAAUGAAAGACCUAGAGAAGUCAACUGCUUAGGAAACAAUUAUUCUGGCUGCUCCCUGACAGCAGGGAGGUUCGGGGUGGUCUGCGGUUUGGGAAGGACUUGUAUGGUACCAUUCUUGCCAUCCAUUUUGAAAGAGUUCAAGGGAACACACUGCUCCAGGGAGCGCUGGUUUCUGGUCUGUGCUUAUGAUCCGGUUGGACCAAAAGCAAACUGAAGGGCCUUUCCCAGAGAGUCACAGCCCUCUCUGUGACAAGGAACUGCUGUGGACAGCUGAGGGAGGACGGGGGUCGGGGCAGGAAGUGGAGCUGGAGCCACAGUUCUAUUUUUCAGUCCUCCUUUGUCCUUUAGCCACCACACCUUGCUGCCCGGUUUGUUCUUCCAACCCCAACACCCCCUUCCUUGUAGGCUUGUAUCUUAAAGGACUGCUUCAAGGUGAGGAUUUUGAAAAGUACGUUGGGGACUUGUAAGCUCCUCCCCCAAGCAAAGUCAGCAGGAGGCAUGUUGACGAUGGCUGUUUGCUCUCAACACACGGAGAGUUUGCAGAAAACUGGAGGUCAGACCCCUGCCUCUUGGGCUCCGGAGGCCUCGUGCGGCCAGGACAGAUGCAGCGGGCCUAGCGACUAUUGCAAGCCCGCAUCGGACCUGGCAGAGCUAGGGGAACACAGCCUUGCGCCCUGCCGCUUCGGCCAGUGACGCGUGGGUGAGAGGACCCGUGUGCAGUGCGGAUGGCGCAGGGUGUGCGCUGAAGACGCACGGAGCAGGCUCCUUGAAUGCGACGCCCACUGAGGCGGCGCAGGACCCACCGCAGCAUCAACUGCUGAUCUAUUUCAGUGGUGGCGUUUCCGCAGGAAUGGGAAACUAUUUAUUCUCAGAUCCUUAGCUGGUUUCCUUUUACAUAACUUCUGCGUCUUUCAAUUAUGUUCACUUUGGGGGAGCCCUAGGGCUCUCCUAAACCAUACAGGUGUGGAAUUUUAAUAAAACACGAUUUAUUAAAAUCCGAGCUCACAAAAUUGGUAAAUUAUGGAGAUGGAUUAUUUUUACCGAAAAAGGAUUUUGUGAUCAAAUUCAGGUUCCCUUUUGUUAAUCCCUAAUUCUCCUAGUGCGUAUAAUAACAUCACAUUGUGGAUUUCUUCAGAAGUAAUCCAUGUGCCCAGCUAUAGUACAUCAUGGCAGGUAAAACCCCGUUAUUUGACUUCAACAGGACCUAGAUUUGAGACCAGGCUCUGACACUUACUUGCUGUGCGUUUGAAUAAACUUAUUAUCCUGUCAAAAAUACAAAUUAAAAUUGUUGCAAGUGUUAAAUGAGAUAGCAUAGCUCAAACACUUAGCAUACAGUAAGAGCUCCCUAUUUUAGUGAAAUUCUUUGUCUUCUUAUCAGAGUAUUCAUAAAGGUCGGUUGACCCACAUCUGGUUUAAAUGCAACUUUUUUUGUAUCUUUUGUGUAAGAGUUAGAUCUACCUUUGUUGCUGUGACUUACUUCUGUGACCAUUCUGCCAGUUUCCUGUCCUGCCCAGUGGUUUGGGUCCUAUGGCCUUGGAUUUCCCCAAAGGCCAAAGUCCUCCCAUCACAGAAGUGGGUGGAAAAAGGGCUACUUCCAUAUCAUACUGCCUGUAGGCUGAGAGUCUGCAUAAUUAGAUGGGUUUCUCUCUAAAAUAAUGCUUCUCAAAGCAUAGCCAAUGAACCCCUUUAUCAUAAUCUUAGGCGUGUUUAUUAAAUUGCAGAUUCCUAGGGUCCUACCUCACAGCUUUUGAAAUAGAAUCUUUUGUGGAGGUUCUAGGGUAAGAAUCUUCAUUGUAAUAAGCACCCAGCUUAUUCUGAUGCUAACCAAAUAAAAUUGUAGAACUGCUCCAGUGCAGUCCUCAAGUUUGCCUGAUUAUGGAAUGGCCUAGGGAUAUUUAAUAAAAAUAGAGGUUCCUGGGCCCCACCCCACAAUUUCUAGGAAGGAGCCUGAGGAUGUGUAUUUUUAAAAUAUUUUUUAAUGCUUAUUUAUUUUUGAGAGACAGAGAGAGAGACAGAGAGAGCUCAAGUAGGGGAGGGGCAGAGAGAGAGGGAGACACAGAAUCCUAAGUGGGCUCCAGGCUCCGAGCUGUCAGCACAGAGCCAGAUACCGGGCUCGAACCCACAAACCUUGAGAUUAUGACCUAAGCAAGGUCAGACGCUUAACCGACUGAGCCACCCAGGUGCCCAGAGGAUAUUUUCUAAUAAGUGCCCUCAGGUGAUUCUGAUGAUCUGGCAAAUGCAGGAAAUGCUGCUCUAGAAUGACUGGCCAGUGGCACCUUUGGUGGUAGUGGUGGUAGCAGGAAAGGGAUGGGGGCAGUGAUCAGGGACGGGAUGAUGGUUUGAAUGAUCCAGAGAGUGACUUAGGUCAAGAGCUGAGCCCCCGCUGUAAGGGUUCAUCUUUGCUUUUUACUUUUUUUUUUUUUUUAAUGUUUAUUCAUUCUUGAGAGAGAGACAGAGUGUAAGUGGGGGAGGGGCAGAGAGAGCGGGAGACACAGAACCCAAAGCAGGAUCCAGUCUCCGAGCCGUCAGCACAGAGCCCAAUGUGGGGCUUGAACUCACAAACUGUGAGAUCAUGACCUGAGCUGAGG